rnacentral:rRNA from 1 species
GACUGCUAUCGGAUUGGGAUUUAGCCAUGUUAGUCGCGCGUUCUCUGGCUACAGGGGACGCGGCGCACGGCUCAGUAACACGUAGUCAACCUACCCUGGAGAUGUGGACAAACCCGGGAAACUGGGGCUAAUCCAUGAUAGAUGACUUCAUCUGGAAGGAGAGGUCGUCGAAAAGGCGGCGCGAGUAUGCUUCGCGUUUUUCGCUCCAGGAUGGGACUGCGGCCGAUCAGGCUGUUGGCGGGGUAAUGGCCCACCAAACCUGUAACCGGUACGGGCUUUGAGAGAAGGAGCCCGGAGAUGGACACUGAGACAAGGGUCCAGGCCCUACGGGGCGCAUCAGGCGCGAAAACUUCGCAAUGCGCGAAAGCGUGGCGAGGCUAGUCCGAGUGCCCUCCGCUGAGGAGGGCUUUUCUCGGCUGUAAAUAGGCCGGGGAAUAAGGGGAGGGCAAGUCUGGUGUCAGCCGCCGCGGUAAUACCAGCUCCUCGAGUGGUCGGGACGAUUAUUGGGCCUAAAGCACCCGUAGCCGGUUUAGUAAGUCCUCUGUUAAAUCCAACCGCUCAACGGCCGGUCCGCAGAGGAUACUGCUAGACUAGGAGGCGGGAGAGGCGGACGGUACUCCGCGUGUAGGGGUAAAAUCCUUUGAUCCGCGGAAGACCACCAGUGGCGAAGGCGGUCCGCCAGA